rfam:Nicotiana sylvestris Nsyl_contig138176, whole genome shotgun sequence.
AUACCAUGGUGUGGACAUAUAACCAACAUUCCCUUAAAACGCUCCAAUGUCUUAUGCAGUGUCUCCAUUGGUUUCUGUUUAAAGCUCAAAAUUUCGUCAAUUUGUUG